AUUGAACGCUGGCGGCAGGCCUAACACAUGCAAGUCGAGCGGAUGAAGGGAGCUUGCUCCUGGAUUCAGCGGCGGACGGGUGAGUAAUGCCUAGGAAUCUGCCUGGUAGUGGGGGAUAACGUCCGGAAACGGGCGCUAAUACCGCAUACGUCCUGAGGGAGAAAGUGGGGGAUCUUCGGACCUCACGCUAUCAGAUGAGCCUAGGUCGGAUUAGCUAGUUGGUGGGGUAAAGGCCUACCAAGGCGACGAUCCGUAACUGGUCUGAGAGGAUGAUCAGUCACACUGGAACUGAGACACGGUCCAGAGUCCUACGGGAGGCAGCAGUGGGGAAUAUUGGACAAUGGGGGAAAGCAUGAUCCAGCCAUGCCGCGUGUGUGAAGAAGGUCUUCGGAUUGUAAAGCACUUUAAGUUGGGAGGAAGGGCAGUAAGUUAAUACCUUGCUGUUUUGACGUUACCAACAGAAUAAGCACCGGCUAACUUCGUG
rnacentral:rRNA from 1 species